AGAUUGAACGCUAGCGGGAUGCUUUACACAUGCAAGUCGAACGGCAGCGCGGACUUCGGUCUGGCGGCGAGUGGCGAACGGGUGAGUAAUAUAUCGGAACGUGCCCAGUAGCGGGGGAUAACUACGCGAAAGCGUGGCUAAUACCGCAUACGCCCUACGGGGGAAAGGGGGGGAUCGCAAGACCUCUCACUAUUGGAGCGGCCGAUAUCAGAUUAGCUAGUUGGUGAGGUAAAGGCUCACCAAGGCGACGAUCUGUAGCUGGUUUGAGAGGACGACCAGCCACACUGGGACUGAGACACGGCCCAGACUCCUACGGGAGCAGCAGUGGGAAUUUGGACAAGUGGGGGAAACCCUGAUCCAGCCAUCCCGCGUGUGCGAUGAAGGCCUUCGGGUUAGUAAGACUACGUUUGUCGAGGGAAGAAACGGACGGUCGACCCGUAACGUAACGGACCGUCGAACUACGG
rnacentral:rRNA from 1 species